rnacentral:rRNA from 1 species
UACGUAGGUGACAAGCGUUGUCCGGAUUUACUGGGCGUAAAGGGCGCGUAGGCGGCAAUUCAAGUCAGUUGUGAAAUCUCCGAGCUUAACUCGGAACGGUCAACUGAUACUGUUUUGCUAGAGUACAGAAGGGGCAAUCGGAAUUCUUGGUGUAGCGGUGAAAUGCGUAGAUAUCAAGAGGAACACCUGAGGUGAAGACGGGUUGCUGGGCUGAUACUGACGCUGAGGCGCGAAAGCUAGGGUAGCAAACGGG